ACAUCGGUAGCACACUGGUUAGUGCAGUCUGCCGGAAACAGAAACGCGCCGGUUCAAUUCCCGUUCGAUGUC
rfam:Nippostrongylus brasiliensis genome assembly, scaffold: NBR_scaffold0004024